rnacentral:lncRNA from 1 species
GUACAAAACACAAAAACCACUACAAAAGAUAGUCAAACUCUAGCCCUACUUUCUUCUGCGACCUGUCACUUGAUGAGAACCGCCCACUUCAUCGAAAAAGGAAGCCCUUAAACUACCUGUAUAUAUAGAUGUACAAGAAAUUAGGCAUUUGCUUGAUAAUACAUCAUUUGGCAGGAUAUAACUUGUCUUUCUCUCUUAGAAACCACACAAAUUCAACAUACACCUCAAAGUAGAAUAAAAACAUUGCUAAAGUAUUGCAACUCAGGAUCUCGCGUCAUGUCACUAACGCGCUUAGGCAGCAUGCUCAUAAUUCAUCCUAGUUUCAAGAGGAAAAAUAGUAUGACCUUGGGGACAUUAUGAUUAUCCCAAUUACUCUAAAAUUUGACAAUGGAUGUGUAAAUUCAAGUAUACCAACUACAUUUUCUACCAAACACAACAGUCAUAUCAGAAUAUAUUUGAAUAAUUAAAUAUUUAUAGGAUACAACUUACCAAUUAAUGAUCAACUAUUAUUUUUGCAGUCUCUUUGCAUCAUUGAUAACAUCUUCAACCAUAUGGGUAGCCCACUCCUCCUUCACNNNNNNNNNNNNNNNNNNNNNNNNNNNNNNNNNNNNNNNCUAAAUCCAACUUCUAGAAUAUAUAUUUACUACUAUAAGGCAUCUAAUUUCAAUCAUAUACUAGUGUGGUUCAUCUUAGGAGAACUAUGAAUGCUGCUGCACAUGCCUUAGUUGGUAUAGCUUAGGCUUUACAAGUUUAAACACAAAUUGCAAACCACCCCUAGAAAAACCAGUACACUAAUCACUGUAACAUAGUGGAAAAACCAGAAAACCAGAUCUUUCCCAACAGCAAAAAAACGCAGACCAGCACGAUUGCACAAACACCUUCAAUUCCGCAUCACCGACGCAUACACAUUACUUCCGCAUCACCGACAAAUACAUAUUAUAGUAACGAUGGUCCUCUUGUUUUGGACUCAAUUAAACUACUCAGCCAUAAUAAUUAUAAUAAUAGUAAACAAAGCAAUAUUCAUUAUUUUCAUUAUAUUGGUGCAGGAAACAGUUAAUAAAGUAGUAACAAUAAAACGCACGCACCGUAGCAGUAUUCACAAUUUGGAAUUUGACAGAUUAAGAGGAACAGUAGCGAUCAAAUUAAUUUGAAACAAUAAUCAAUUGUAACAAGUAAACAAGGUAAACACGGUGUUGUAUCAAAAUAACAAGACGAUGAACAAUUUUGCAAAUUUAAUUUUCAAUUUUGCAAAUCAAUUUUCUAACUUAAAUCAAUUUGCAAAAUAACAAGUCUUCUAACUUAAAUCAAUUUUGCAAAUUUAAUUUUCUCAGACAUCUAUAAUGUAAGCAUAUACCUUAAUAACCACGGUUUGAGUUGUGACGGCAUGAUGAUGAACAAGUACGACUUCCAAAAAAUUGAAUUGAUGGGUAUAUGGUGGAGAGAAGAGGAUUUAUGGGUUAUGGGUUGGGCUCACAGUGAUUUCUGGGUUCUUGGAGAUUAGGGUUAACAGUUGGGUUCAAGCAAUUAGAUUGGAGGAAGAUGAACAANNNNNNNNNNNNNNNNNNNNNNNNNNNNNNNNNNNNNNNNNNNNNNNUUAGGGAUUUGAGGAUCGUGGGUUAAGAUUUUUGCAAAGCAACUGAUUUUAGUGCAAAGCAACUGAUCGCGAGAAAACAAAAUCCUUCACCGCGUAUACUGAAAUCUGAUCUUUGUUUUUUAUUUUUAAUUUUUU